rnacentral:rRNA from 1 species
GACGAACGCUGGCGGCGUGCUUAACACAUGCAAGUCGAACGGAAAGGCCCUGCUUUUGUGGGGUGCUCGAGUGGCGAACGGGUGAGUAACACGUGAGUAACCUGCCCUUGACUUUGGGAUAACUUCAGGAAACUGGGGCUAAUACCGGAUAGGAGCUCCUGCUGCAUGGUGGGGGUUGGAAAGUUUCGGCGGUUGGGGAUGGACUCGCGGCUUAUCAGCUUGUUGGUGGGGUAGUGGCUUACCCAGGCUUCGACGGGUAGCCGGCCUGAGAGGGUGACCGGCCACAUUGGGACUGAGAUACGGCCCAGACUCCUACGGGAGGCAGCAGUGGGGAAUAUUGCACAAUGGGCGGAAGCCUGAUGCAGCAACGCCGCGUGCGGGAUGACGGCCUUCGGGUUGUAAACCGCUUUCGCCUGUGACGAAGCGUGAGUGACGGUAAUGGGUAAAGAAGCACCGGCUAACUACGUG